UACGUAGGGUGCAAGCGUUGUCCGGAAUUAUUGGGCGUAAAGAGCUCGUAGGCGGUCUGUCGCGUCGGCUGUGAAAUCCCGGAGCUCAACUCCGGGUCUGCGGUCGAUACGGGCAAACUGGAGUACUGCAGGGGAGACUGGAAUUCCUGGUGUAGCGGUGAAAUGCGCAGAUAUCAGGAGGAACACCAAUGGCGAAGGCAGAUCUCUGGGCCGUAACUGACGCUGAGGAGCGAAAGCAUGGGGAGCGAACAGG
rnacentral:rRNA from 1 species